rnacentral:tRNA from 1 species
GGGGCUGGGGCUCAGUGGUAGAGCACUUGCCUGGCAUGCAUGCGGCCCAGGUUUGAUCCUCAGCACCA